CUACGGGUUGCAGCAGUGAGGAAUAUUGCACAAUGGGGGGAACCCUGAUGCAGCAACGCCGCGUGGAGGAUGACGCAUUUCGGUGUGUAAACUCCUUUUAUAUGUCAAGAAAAUGACGGUAGCAUAUGAAUAAGCACCGGCUAACUCCGUGCCAGCAGCCGCGGUAAUACGGAGGGUGCAAGCGUUACUCGGAAUCACUGGGCGUAAAGGACGCGUAGGCGGGCUGGUAAGUCAGGUGUGAAAUCCUACAGCUUAACUGUAGAACUGCACUUGAAACUACGAGCCUAGAGUAUGGGAGGGGGAGAUGGAAUUAGUGGUGUAGGGGUAAAAUCCGUAGAUAUCACUAGGAAUACCUAAAGCGAAGGCGAUCUCCUGGAACAUAACUGACGCUAAGGCGUGAAAGCGUGGGGAGCAAACAGGAUUAGAUACCCUCGUAGUC
rnacentral:rRNA from 1 species